rnacentral:rRNA from 1 species
UACGUAGGGGGCCAGCGUUGUCCGGAAUCAUUGGGCGUAAAGCGCGCGUAGGCGGCCAGAUAAGUCCGGUGUGAAAGUCAAAGGCUCAACCUUUGAAUGCCGCUGGAAACUGCCUGGCUUGAGUCCGGAAGGGGCGAGUGGAAUUCCUGGUGUAGCGGUGAAAUGCGCAGAUAUCAGGAGGAACACCAAUGGCGAAGGCAGCUCGCUGGGACGUGACUGACGCUGAGACGCGAAAGCGUGGGAGCAAACAGG